rnacentral:rRNA from 1 species
UACGUAGGGUGCGAGCGUUGUCCGGAAUUACUGGGCGUAAAGAGCUCGUAGGUGGUUUGCCGCGUUGUUCGUGAAAACUCACAGCUCAACUGUGGGCGUGCGGGCGAUACGGGCAGACUGGAGUACUGCAGGGGAGACUGGAAUUCCUGGUGUAGCGGUGGAAUGCGCAGAUAUCAGGAGGAACACCGGUGGCGAAGGCGGGUCUCUGGGCAGUAACUGACGCUGAGGAGCGAAAAGCGUGGGGGAGCGAACAGG